rnacentral:rRNA from 1 species
CCUACGGGAGGCAGCAGUGGGGAAUCUUGCGCAAUGGGCGAAAGCCUGACGCAGCAACGCCGCGUGCGGGAAGAAGGCUUUCGGGCUGUAAACCGCUUUCAGCAGGAACGAAAAUGACGGUACCUGCAGAAGAAGGAGCGGCCAACUAUGUGCCAGCAGCCGCGGUGAUACAUAGGCUUCAAGCGUUGUCCGGAUUUAUUGGGCGUAAAGAGUUCGUAGGCGGUCAAGUAAGUCGGGUGUGAAAAUUCUGGGCUCAACCCAGAGACGCCACCCGAUACUGCUUAACUUGAGUUCGAUAGGGGAGUGGGGAAUUCCUAGUGUAGCGGUGAAAUGCGCAGAUAUUAGGAGGAACACCGGUGGCGAAGGCGCCACUCUGGAUCGAUACUGACGCUGAGGAACGAAAGCAUGGGUAGCAAACAGGAUUAGAUACCCUGGUAGUCCAUGCCGUAAACGGUGGGCACUAGGUGUGGGUUUCUAUUAACGAAAUCCGNGCCGUCGCUAACGCAUUAAGUGCCCCGCCUGGGGAGUACGGUCGCAAGCUUAAAACCNCGAAAGGAUUGAACGGNUGAGAGUGCGAGACGACGACGAGGAGAGG